rnacentral:rRNA from 1 species
GAUGAACGCUGGCGGCGUGCCUAAUACAUGCAAGUCGAGCGAACGGACGAGAAGCUUGCUUCUCUGAUGUUAGCGGCGGACGGGUGAGUAACACGUGGAUAACCUACCUAUAAGACUGGGAUAACUUCGGGAAACCGUAGCUAAUACCGGAUAAUAUUUUGAACCGCAUGGUUCAAAAGUGAAAGACGGUCUUGCUGUCACUUAUAGAUGGAUCCGCGCUGCAUUAGCUAGUUGGUAAGGUAACGGCUUACCAAGGCAACGAUGCAUAGCCGACCUGAGAGGGGUGACGGCCCACACGGAAAAGAGACCACGUCCAAGCCCCCACGGGGGGCCAGAGGAGGGAAUCUUCCCAGAGGGGCGAAAGGCUUACGGAACCACCCCGCGUGAGUUAAGAAGGUUUUGGGGUUGUAAAACUUUUUUUAUGGGGAAAAAAAAUUUUGUUAAUAACUGGGCAAAUUUUGGCGGGUCCUAAACAAAAAGCCCCCGCUAACCACG